rnacentral:piRNA from 1 species
AAGACAUUUGUAGCCUGGUGUG